rnacentral:lncRNA from 1 species
AAUAAAUAAAUCCCGUUUUGAUUGUCCUUUAAUUGGAAAAAUCCCCUACGCCCUUCGCGGGGUUGGAAAAAGGAGGUGUGACAAUACUGAUGGACAACCUGCAAACUUCAAACUGAUGGACAACCUGCAGUUCGAACAUUGUUACUCAGUGAGUCCAGUUGUGUAAAUUUAAGACGUAUUGCGUAGAGAUCCCUAGGGCUGUGCAUUUUUGAACUCAGUUGCAUUAUUAAUUUUUAUGAGUACUCAGUUCAGUCAGUUGUGUACUGUAAAUUGAACAUUGUUAACAAUGUGAAGUACUUAAUUUCGAAGUUCAAACAAGUAUUUGAAAAGUGAUUGCUCCAUUUGUAUUUGGAAAGUAAUUCCCAACAUUUGUUUAUGUACUUCGAACAAGUUCUGAAAAGUGACAAUCCGAUCCGACAAUCCAAAAAAUUAUCCGAUCCAAAGUUUCAAAUCCGAUCCGAUCCAAUGUUAAUUCGGAUCGGAUUCGGAUUGCCCUUUUCAGAAUCCGAAAUCCGAAAUCCGAAAUAUGUUAAAUCCGAUCCGAUCCGAUCCGUGCACAGCCCUACUUCGGGGCAUACCUCUAAUAAUAAUAUAUACAAAUUUCGCGGGGCAUUCCCUAGAUAAUAAACUAAAGGAACGACCUCUCGCCUCGAAACUAACAAAAUCCUAAGUCUUGCCUACUCGAGUAUUGACGACCUAGCAUGCUCCUAGCCGACAAUGUAUUAAACCAAAUUUUUACUUUUAAUUCUUGAACCCCAUGCCUAAGAUUUGGCAGAAUAUCCAAACAAUCAAUCAAUCUAAUUAACUUUGUUAACCUAAAUAUUUUGUUGUCACGGUGUUAAUUUUGAAAUCUACCUUUUGAUGAAGAAAAACAACAGAGAAUCAAACUAACAUGUAUUAAACCAACCAAAAUACAAAUAACAACUAAUAGAACAAAUACGGGUGAACAAGUAACCAUUAAAGCAUUACAAAAACAAAUCAACAAAAUGUUAACCCAAACAAUCAACCAAGCAAAGCAACGACAUACACGAAAUAAAACAGUAUGAUAUGCUAUGAAGCAAAAUAGUAGCAAAAAGUUAGAAGUAAACCUUAACUAUCUCAAAAACUUUGAUUGAAAAAAGCGGACCUCGAUCGGAAAAUAAAAUCAGCAAAUAGGAACCGCACUAGGACCUCGAACCAUGACCUCGGGCUCUAACCUCGAACCGUGACCUCGAAACAAACUCGACUCAAUCAAACGAACUCCAAUUCAGGCAGAAAUCCAGGAAAAGAAAUGGAACCUUUUUUUUUUUUCUAAUUUUUAAAAAAUGGAAAAUACAACUUGAACCAAGAACUAAUUUCAAACUAUUUUCAUUUUUCUCGUUCCCAGAUUCUGUCCCGUUUUUCCGAUCCCUGCCUCUGUUUUUUUCGAUAAUGUGCGUGUGUAUGUUAAUGAGAGAUGAGGGAACUAGGAGGGGUUGCUGGUCCGUUUGGAUUUGUUUCCGGCGACGUCACUCGCCGGUAAUCAAUUCCGGCGAGGGAGGUGAUGGGUGUUCUCUAUUUUUGACUCCCUUUGUGGCCGCUCUCUUUUGGACUCUCUCUCCCGAAAGAGAAGGUCUCAACUUGGAGAACCAGAAAAAACCCUCAAAAAUGUGUGGUCCCCACACUAAUAUCAAAAAUGAAAUCUUCCCCAAAUUAUAAGUCAUAACCAAAAUACUGUACGUCACAUUUCCUUCCUAUUUCCAAGUUUUCUUUUCUUUUCUGUUGUAUUCUCUUUGUUUGUUUGUUUUUCCAUUGCUUUUUUUUUUGUUUUUCAUUUUUGUUUUUUUUAAUUCCAAAGAUGAAUCAAUAUACUAGUUUUAUCUGAAAUAAUA